UGAACGCUAGCGGCAGGCUUAACACAUGCAAGUCGAGGGGCAGCGGGAUGUAGCAAUACAUUGCCGGCGACCGGCGGAUGGGUGCGUAACGCGUAUGCAACCUACCUUAGUACAGGGGGAAUAACCUUUCGAAAGGGAGACUAACACCCCAUAGUAUUGAUUUAAGGCAUCUUAGAUUAAUUAAAUAUUUAUAGGUAUAAGAUGGGCAUGCGUAUGAUUAGCUAGUUGGUAAGGUAACGGCUUACCAAGGCGACGAUCAUUAGGGGUUCUGAGAGGAAGGUCCCCCACACUGGUACUGAGACACGGGACCAGACUCCUACGGGAGGCAGCAGUGAGGAAUAUUGGUCAAUGGGCGCAAGCCUGAACCAGCCAUGCCGCGUGCAGGAAAGACGGCCUUAUGGGUUGUAAACUGCUUUUACAUAAGACUAACCGUAUAUUUGCGAAUAUACCUGAAUGUAUUAUGAGAAUAAGGAUCGGCUAACUCCGUGCCAGCAGCGGC
rnacentral:rRNA from 1 species